rnacentral:rRNA from 1 species
GAUGAACGCUGGCGGCGUGCCUAAUACAUGCAAGUCGAACGCUGGAAAUCUAGCUUGCUAGAUUGAAGGAGUGGCGAACGGGUGAGUAAUACAUAAGCAACCUACCCACGAAGACUGGGAUAAUCUCUGGAAACGGGGACUAAUACCGGAUAGGUAAUCGGAAGGCAUCAUCUGAUUAUUAAAGGUUAAAAACACUGGUGGAUGGGCUUAUGGCGCAUUAGUUAGUUGGUGAGGUAACGGCCCACCAAGACGAUGAUGCGUAGCCGGCCUGAGAGGGUGAACGGCCACAUUGGGACUGAGACACGGCCCAGACUCCUACGGGAGGCAGCAGUAGGGAAUUUUCGGCAAUGGGGGAAACCCUGACCGAGCAACGCCGCGUGAGUGAUGACGGCCUUCGGGUUGUAAAGCUCUGUUGUAAGGGAAGAACGGUAGAUAGAGAAUAUCUAAAUGACGGUACCUUACCAGAAAGCCACGGCUAACUACGUG